rnacentral:misc_RNA from 1 species
GUGGAAUCUGUCAUAGUCUUGUUUUGGUUGCAUUUACAUGAUUUAUAAAAUAGGAUGGAUUUACAUCCCCUAGCAAAGUAGCAGUAAGCAUUUUGUUUCAUACAAAAAAAAAGAAAAAUGUUCUUUAACCUGGGGUUAAAGUGCUACUCUAUCUUUGUUGGGGAGCUACAUUUUGUUGCUUGGUUCAACCUUCAAGGGACGCCAAGAGGGUGCACGUGCAGGGCAUUAUUAGUGGUACUCACAGGAGAUUCAUAGGGAUUGG